CCCUCCUCCCGGCAUUGUCCCGCGGCCGCCGUCGGGCUCUUAAGCCCGGCCGACCCGGGGCACGGCCGCAGCAGCUCGUCCGCGGCCCUCGCCCCAUGGUGCUGGCUGGAAGGAGCUGUGCAGGAGCACUGCAGAGAACAGACUUUCCAGGAAUGUUUCUGCAUGGAAAGCCAACACGUCUGCCUGGCUGGACUGAGGGAAGGAGCAAUACUGAUUUGAUUGGUGAAGUCAGUGUGAGGCUUCGCAUUGAUUCCAGUGGGUGCCGACCUUUGUGGUCUGAGACAGCAGCCUCAGCAUUGAGUUUGCACGUCAUACAAUGGGACCCUUGUCUACAUCGAAGCCAGAAAAUGCUAUUGCAUCCUAAAUAAAUUCAGUUGAAACCA